CAUGAGGUUCUUCCAAUGUUGUUUUUUUUUUCUCCUUUAAGUGCAAGGAACUCAAAUUGUGAUGGAAUUUUCUUUUUCAAAUGAUUUCUAUCAUUUCUAUCAAAAGGCUUUUGGGGCAGCAGCUGCUUGAUCCCCAAAGGUCGUGAGUGUGCCCUGAGCCUCACCUGUCAUGGCUGAAGUGCCUUCACCACGAGCAGCGCCCGGUUCCUUGCAUGGCGCCAUACAGCAAAGCUCGGGGGCCUCUGACUGUACUCGUAAUUAAUUAUAUCACCCAGAAUAAGCAUCAUCACUCUCAUACACAUUUCCAGACCAGGAGGUCUGGCUGCUCAACAGAUGCUUGAAAAGAUGCUUGUUGUGCUAUUAUUGAGAGCUGUGGCCUCCUGCCAGUUUCCAUCAGAGGGAAACAGAGGGCGUCAUCGGCGUUUGAGGGAGUCUUUCACAGAGGGAGAGCACAGACAAAAUCAAAUGUGACACUGUUUUCCUAUAGAUAAGGCAUUUCUGUGCAUGCUCCUGUUGUUUGCUGCUCUUCCAAGUUCUGUGUUUAUUCUCUUGUGUUGAUUUUCCUAUGGCUGUGCUUUCGCUUCCUCAGCACUGUAAUCCCAAUUUAAACCGACUUUUCUUUCUCCAUCAUUCCUCCAAACAAUGAUGGAUCACUGCAGCGACGGUGGAGAACAGGGGAAAAGCAACUACAGAAACGUCUCAACUAGAAAAAAAAAGUACGUAGCAGAAUAUUAAAGAGCCUAUGGAAAUUAAUAGGUACCCAGACACCAUUUUAAAACAGUUUGACACGCACGCUGUGUUGAAUCAAAAAUGACUAAUGUAGAAGAGUAACAAUUUGCAAGGUAAAGAAACCCCACCAGCCUCGGUCUCGGCAAAACACUCUUUAGAUUAGCAUAAAUUAUGCCAUUUAAGAUGCUUAUUAACAUUAAAUUUAACGUUAUGAACAUUGGCUUGGGAGGUGCGUUCUUGUAGGGAGAGAAGUCAUUGCAGAAUACACAGAGUUCACUUGAGCUGUAAUUACUGUUCCUCUGAAAAUUAUAUAUAUUUUCCUGAAUUGUGUUCACAUGCUCAGAAUCGCAGAGAAAAAGACCCUACAUGAACUGCAGAUUAAAAGAGUUCAGAUGAAGAAAAUGCAUUCUUGCAUGAGGUGAGAUAGCUUUAUUCUCCCUACAAGCGUCACCUGUCCUGCUUUUAAUACCUGUGUUGAGAUCUGGCUGUCAGCACUGUCUUAGUGUGCUGGCUAUAAACUCCAGCCCAUGAAUUUAUUACUCUGUACAGCUGGAAAAUAUAUUUGUUGGCAUUGUUCUUCUCUGUAGCACGUUAUUGUUAACUCAUUCCUUAGAGGAAAAUGAUGGUAAAAACCUAGAAAUAGGUGUUUUUUUGUGUUUUUUGUUUGUUUGUUUUUAAGAGAUCAACCUGUGUAUUGAAUUGCUGACCAUAAAGAGGUGAGGGCUGUGCAGGACUUGUGCUAGACCUUCCAUGUCUCACACAGUACCUGACAUGAGCAGCCAAGAGCAUCUGUAACCAUGCAAAUGGCAUAACCCUCCAAAAGGGAUGAAGUGCCUCUCAGACUCAGACCAAAGCUCCUGGUAAGUGUCCUUGGGAUGGAGAAACCACAAGGCUAGCAGCACCCACCACACCUGCAUACACUGUUUCUGUAUUACCUUUACUAUUUCUCCUGGUAAUACUUCUACUGAUGGGGGUAAGGCUGCUUUUCUGAAGCCCGGGUAGCAUUAAGGAGAUGCCAUAAAACCUGUGGUUUUUCAGCCUGUAGUAAUGCAAGGAGAUUCCCACACGCUGGUGGGAAAUUUCCUUUGAGGAGUUGUUCAUUCCAGGCAACAAAAUCAAUGUGAGCCUGAUGCGAGCCCUGAUGGGAGAGAUCCAAGCGUAAGUACAAUUUAACUCAACAUGCAUGUUGGAUGGUAAGGAAAAACUGAAGUCUUUUCAGUGAGCAUUGGAGGCGUUUAGAUGCCGGCACAGAGCCUGAGGCCGUGGGACUGAGCAUCACUGGGCAAAGCCACAGCUAGAGGCAUGGGGAGCUGGGGCUGUGCAGCCCGGGGAAGGCUCAGGGGAGGCCUUUCAGUGCCUGGAAGGGCCUAUGGGAAGGCUGGGAGGGACACUUCAUCAGGGGAUGUAUUAUGUCUUAAAGCUAAAGGAAGGGAGAUUUAGAUGAGAUGUUAGGAAGAAUUGUUCACCAUGAAGGUGGUGAGGCCCUGGUGCUGCUCUCCUGAGCUAUAGGAGCCCCAUUCCUGCCAGCGCCCACAGCCAUGGAUGGGCUCUGGGCAGCCUGAGCUGGUGUGGAUCCCUGUUCAUGGAUUGGAACUGGUGCUCUGAAGAUCUUCCUCAUCUUCCUCUCCCUCUGAGUCAGAUAACACCAGGUUCCCAUUCAGGCUGGACCCACAAUAUCCCACUUGGACGAGUAGCACACACAGCUGCAGUUCCUGCUUGGCACCCUCAGCCCGGUGCAGUCCAUGCUCUCUGAGAAGCACAGCAGCACCAACAGCACUGGGGCACAGCGGGGCAGGAGGAUGCGGCUGCGCUCUGCCAGCAGGACCUGACAUGCUCUCCCAGUGCAGCGGGGAUGCUGUCCUCACCUGGAGGCCAUGGUAGUACCCAUGCAAAGAAUAUUCUCAGCGUGGAAGUUGUUUUCCUCCAGUGCUCCUUGUUUCUGGCUGACAACGAGCAUUAGCCCAGGGUACAAUCUAAUUGGAAGUGACCAGUGACCGCAAAGCCCCGUGUGUGAGCAAGUGCCCGGCUUCCUCUUCUCUCCUAAAUACUGACGUCUACAUUUUAGAUGUUCUUUUUGGUUUUUCCUCCUCUUUCUCCUUCUGCCCUCCCCCUUGGCUUCUAUUAAUUAACGAGGGAGCAUUUUUAGAAGGGAACAGCUCCACACUGGAUUCUUUCCCCAGUUUGGCAGUGGCACCCCCAGCUGUGGGCAUGGGAGUGCAGAUAUGGGGCUGUGGGAAACUUCUGGUCUAGCUGGGGGCAGAGUUUUGGGGUAACCUGGAACUGCCUGUGGGGGUUUUGUUCUGCAGAUGAAUAUUGAUGCUGGCACCGUACCAAAUGAUGCUUAUAUUACGCUGUGCUGAUAAUAAUAAAUCAGUACACCCACUGUGUUUUAUUUUUGCGGUAAGGAAACUCAAAGGGAAAAAAGCCAGGCACUUACCUAUUUUACCAGAUAAUUCACCUGUAGUGGAGCUAUAAAAGGAACGUCACUUGCAUUUCUCUUCUCUGUUAAAGCAAAACGAUGGAGCAGAGGAAGGCACCUUCAGGCAAGAGCAGAGCGAGUGGAAAAUCAAAGCAGAGCACAGGCUGCGAGGAGGGAUGUGAGCACACGGCAGUCCCUGUGUGCAGGGCAGCAGGGAUGGGGCUGUGCAAUGUGUUGGGAGUGGGCAGCAGCAAGCUGCAUGUGUAGCUCUAUUUCCUGGCUCCCGGAUUUGCUUUCGGAUGGGGAAGUCGGAAUGGGGAUGUUUUCUUUUAGGUUACAGUUUCAUUUGUUUUGCAGGAUUUCUGCUGAAGAGCCGUUUCUGUCAUUGAUAAUGGACUGGAAAAAAAGCAUCAGUGCAUCAUCCAAAGUGUUUAAUCGCCUGUACUCAUCAUGGUCAGUCAAGCACUCGGCCAUUAUAAUGAAGGGUUAGAAGUUAUCUAUAGAAUAAUCAAUGUAUCAUGUACUGCACUAAGAAUGUUCCUUUUUUUUCCCCAUCAAGACUAGCUUUGGCAGUUCAAUGGGCUAUGCAUGUUAUGAAAUAUUUUACACACAUUCUGUACUUUCUGUCCACCACUUCUUCUGCUGGGUAGCCCCCAUCUCUACCAGCCUCCUGUCCCUGCUUGGGCUCUGUUGCUGGUGGUCCAGGGAGCCAUGCUUUAGCAUAGGGCAGGAUUUCUGGAGUGAAGUCAAGCAAGAAGAGACCGAGAGGAACAGUGCUUGCAUGGAAAGGUAGAAAUCAUAAAAGAGAAAUGUUUGAUGCCAUCCAGGUGUUGGUGCAUCCAUCAAUGAUGAGAGCUCAGCAGCAUCUAGGAUCCAUGCAGGUCAAUGACUGUGCCUUUGGUUAGCUGAGGAGCUCUUCCAACCUGAGCUGCAUUUUGUGCUUGUCAGCCAGUGACUAAUUGGUGGAUCAGUUGCUGCUUGCAGUCUUCUUACACCUGGCUACAGAAGCUGGAUGAACUGUAGUCAGUCUACUGCAUAUUGUCUGAGAGCAUUCUCUGCCUUCAGUCCCUCCCUAGAAAUUGGUACCCAACUGUUUUCCCUAAAGUUGUUUGAGAAAGAUUUGCCUCCUGUGAAGUGUCACCAUGGAAGAGGAAGGAUGACCUGGCUGGUGCCCACCUGGUGUCACAUUCCUGGCUUCUGACCUCGAGGUGGGCAGUGCUGACUGCUGGGACUUCAGUAGGAACGAGCAAACAAGCCUUUCCUGCCCCUUCUGGGUUGCACCAGAGCUCUCAACCACCUCAGCUUUUAAAUUCUCAUUGCAGAUCCCUCCAUCUGCCUCUGCAGCACAGGGAAGUUGGCAGCGUAGCGGCAUAACCCAUAAGGUGGAUUUAGAAAUGUUUUCAGCUAAAUGGGUUUGAUUUUAUCAUUCUAGAUGACCUCCACUCUCCUCUUACAGUGGUAAGGGGACAAGUCCAGAUUUUGAAUAUUUUGUUCCUUGCUCAAUGCGUUGGAGCAUUUUCCCUUUGUUCCUUUAUGUAAUGGGAAGUAUUUGUUCAAUACUAUCCUGAUAAAAGUGCAAUGCAAACUUCGUGUUGGAAAUCAAAUGCUGGGGUGGAUCAAUCUCCCGAUCUCAUUCAA